AACAGGUUGUAAACUUUAUUUCUCCCUUUGACUGAUUUCGGUUUUUAGAGGUAUUUUGCCCCGGGAUUUUCUCUUCCCAGACUUACAGAAGCAUGAGAGAAAGAACAAGAGAAGUAGCAAGAGCAUAUAAGCACGUGUGAACAAAUCCACCUCGGUCAGUACAAGUGGCUAAAGGGCAUUUUUCUGUGAGAUCUUGCUACCCAGUGGCGGUGCACGCCCAGCCUACCUGUCCGUCUGUGCCCUCUGAGGCUUUAUCUAGCAUCGCCUCAUGGACUAAGGAGUGAGACGGAGAACACAAAGCAAACAGUCUCCUCCCCGAGCCAGGCCUUCCCCAGGAGGACACCUUCCACAGUGGGGGUGUGCAGCUUCCAACUCUUCACCCAUCCCUUCCUUUCCCCAAGAAGGAUGAAUGCCAUUCCCCCAGGAAGGACUCUUCCAAAGGGCGCCACACUGCUCGAUUUCACAACUUCAAGCCAGGCGGUCCAAGGAGACUUCUUUCCCUGAAGGUGACUGGGGCACGGGUCUUCGGAGGCUCCUGAAUCUUACUUACAGCUUUGAGCAGAACCUUCAGAGUUGUACCUCCAACUGCCUCGACAACAACAGCUCCAUGACUGUCUCUCGCGAACUCCCCAGCUGGGUGAAGGCCCACGUCCCCCUAGGCCUCGCCUGCUGUCCUCGGCCUCCUGCCGCCCUUACUCUGCACUGACACCCUAGCGAAACCGCACAGCCUGCAGCACCUCUGUUGAUGCACCUUUUCCGCAUCCCUGGACCCUGUCCUGUCUCUCCUCGGCAUGUCACUCCCACCCUUCUGCAUCUGGCCAGCUCUCUUCCAUCCUUGAAGACUCAGGGACCAAUCACUUCCUUCAGGACAGCGCCCCUGAGCAGUGCACUUCCAGAUGACCCUGCUUCUAUUCUCUUUUCUGGCCCAAGAGGUGAACAGAAGGGAACUCUGACCUUCAGGGCAGAAGCUCUGUCUCAUCUGUGGGACCUCAGGCCCAGAGUCACUAUUCAAAAAUGUGAAACUGGAUUAUGAGCCUUCAAAGGAGAGCGAAUCCAUUUUUUUGUUUGCUUCCAGAUGUGAAGUGUGUUUUUUGGCUUAGUAAAAAUAAAUAAACUGUGCUUUAAAAAAAGAAAAAAAGCAUUGCAUAAGGUAUUUGCACAGAAUCGUCUAAAAGCCUAAAUAAAUAAUUAAGUCAUUAGCAAAAUAUCAACUAAUUUAGGAAGGGGACAUUCACAUGAAAUCAUACUGGAAGGGCACGCACACUUCACUGUGGUAUCCUCCAGCUGUAAGCCAGCAGUGUUUCGGUAAAUAAAACCAAUGAUGAGUAGCAUGUAUUAUUUCAUGGCAAAA